CAGCAACCAUCAAACAUAUUAGAUCUAGAUUGCCAUGCUGGCACUUCAAGACUUUCUCUAAUACCCUGUACAAGAACUGAAAUCCAACCUAUUGACCACUGGGAAAGCUUCCAAUAAUUGCAUAUUGGAGAAGCAAAUCAGCAGGCAUAGCAGGGCUAGCCACCCUUCACCCCUCCAAAAAAGAAAGAGGAGGAGGGAUGACUUGGAGACGGACCAAACUGGCA